AGAUGGCGACCGGCGCACGGGUGAGUAACACGUAUCCAACCUGCCGAUAACUCGGGGAUAGCCUUUCGGAAGAAAGAUUAAUACCCGAUGGUAUAAUCAGACCGCAUGGUUUGAUUAUUAAAGAAUUUCGGUUAUCGAUGGGGAUGCGUUCCAUUAGGCAGUUGGUGAGGUAACGGCUCACCAAACCUUCGAUGGAUAGGGGUUCUGAGAGGAAGGUCCCCCACAUUGGAACUGAGACACGGUCCAA
rnacentral:rRNA from 1 species